GCCAGUGUGGAGUAGUGGUUUGAGUGUUGGACUAUGACUCUAGACUCCAGGGUUCAAGUCACAGCUCAGCCA